rnacentral:lncRNA from 1 species
CGAGGCCACUUACCGAGCCGAGAAGGGACCUAGAUUCCCGCCGCUCUGCUCUGCCGGCGGCCGGUGCGCCCUCCACGCACCCCAGGGCUGCACCCAGUACCCAAGAGUCGAGGCGUGGAGGGAGGCUGCUACCCAGCCAGGAGACCUUUCAAGUUGCUCGAGCUCCGGCAAGCUUCAAUGUCCAAGACUCAACUUGGCAAAUACUUGUGCCACAGUCACCGAAGAUGUCUUUUUUUUUUCUUUUUCCUUUUUCUUUCUCUUUUUGAGGAGACCCUCCUCCACCGGGGAGAGACAGCGCACGGCGGCGCCCCGCUCUCCAGCUCUCCACCCCCUCACCUCCAGCCCGCCUCCCGCCGGCCGCCAGCCUCCCGGCCGCGAGCCCCUCGGGCGGCUGUCAGCUCCCGGCAGUCCGGGUGACAGCGGCCGAAGGAGGGCGCGACGCGGCGGGCGGUGGGGGGGAUCCUCGCAGCCGCGGCGGCCG